CUAGAACUUCUUGUAUCCUGAGAACGUCCUUCGUAACUCCUUCGCUCCUCUGAUAACUCUUACUAGUAAACUGAGGUGGUGGGAAAUAGCAAGAGUGAGCACAUAUCGUACUCAACAAGUAUAACCAGGGGUUCAUGAGGCUCAAAUAGCUGACUUUGGUUUGACUGCAUUUAGCUUUUAAUAGUGGAUAGCAUGUUUAAUCAUCGGAUAGCAAAUAUCAAGGUAGCAUAAUUAAUCCCAUAACCACAUGAUCAAUGUAUAUAAGAAUUAGGAAUAACACAUAUAAACAACAUAAUAAACCAUCAUUUAUCAUCAUUAAUCAUGUUCAUCAGUGUCCAUCUAUUCCGUCAGUUUUUCGGGCUGCCUGUAUCCGUGGGCACGGCUAGUAUACCAGAUUUAACACUCUGCAGAGGUUGUACAUCUUAACCCAUGAGUCGUGAUUUACCCUUUCGCCCGAGGUGAUCAGCCUCUUUGCUCACUUCCAAGAAAAGCCGACAGGGUUCACUAUGAAGCCUUUCAAAAGUUUGUCUAACAUGUUAGGCUGCAAGGUUUCUUUCGCGACCAGAUAUAGAUACCCCCUUCCGAAUGGCACAAUGACGCGCAACCUAUACACAUAGGGACAGGGGCUCGCACUAUACCCCUGUCGGUUCAGCCCCUCUAGCGUCCUUUCGGGUAACCUCUAACAAGCUAGAAAAAGUCUUCAUACUGAGCUAAAGCCAGAGCCAUAUAGCUCUCUUGGUUGUACGAGUUGUCCCAGCUUUUGCCAAGGGAUAAGUCCUUACGGAGGGUCAAGAUCAAUCUAGCAAAAGCCAGAGUUCUUUCCACCCUUUAUAUUCAAAUUGUUAGAAAGCUUAUUUUAUUGUUUAUUGUAUAUCCAAAUAUUCAUGUCACAAGAUCAUGAAUUAUAAUCAAGCACUAGCAAGAACUACCCAAAUACAUAUCCAAAUAGGUAACAAGGAAUUCAGGAUAACAAUCAUCUAUGAUUUUGCUAAGGUCAUCAAGGUGGGCACAUGCAUAUGAUCAAUAUUGUAUUAAUUGUGUAUAGGUAACAAAGAUAAUCCCAAGUUAUACUUGCCUUAAACACUUGCUCAAUUCUCACAUCAUCAGGUUUUGGUCAUCACCUUCUUCGGCGCUCACAAUCGGUUCUCAUCUACUCGUAGCAAGCACGACACGUAGACAAACAUACAAACAACAAAUAGAAACAACUAAGAACAACACAUCAAUCAGAAGAAACACUUAAAAGGUGAGCGUACUAAACAGCCUAAAAUAGUGCUAUCCUUAAAAAGAAUGCGACUGUCGUGACUGACUACAAAAAGAGGCAAAAGACUAUGGAGUGUAUUUAUUUUAUUUUAGUAAAACUAGGGGAUGCAUAUUUUAGAGAAAUAUCCGAAAAGUAGAAUUAAUCAAAUUAGCUUGAUUAUGAAUCCAGAGUUAAAACUUAGUUAUAUUUUAAUUAUUAAUAAUUAUAUAUCAUUUAAGCCAUUUAAGCAUUCAUAAUUUAAAAAUUAUAAAGCAUGUGAAAGCAACUAAUUGAACCAUCAUGUUUCGAGGUUUAUCUAAGCAGAUCAUAUCCCAAAAAGUAUUAAUGUUGGUAUUAAUUAUAUUAACAUUCUCUAUUAAGUACAAGCUUAUAUACUUAAAACACUUUUAACUGAAAAGACAUUGAAUAAAUAUUAAUUAUAUUACACCGACUUUAUAUGAGUCAUGCUUCAAUUAGGAAAACUAUAAUUUAAUAAAUACAUAUACAUAUUUAAGUUAACAAGCAAUUACAGAAAGAUCGAAGAUAAAACUAAAUUACUUUUAAUUAAUUAAAAAGGACACUCAACAAGCAUUAAUCAAAUUAAUUAUAUUCAUACUCGGGACAUGAAAAAAAAAACAUUACUAACAUGUCGCUUAUGUCGCCAUGAUCGCAAAGCAAUAAAAACGAAAUUUAUAACUCUACGUCAGUUUUAAUUAUAAAGUUAGAUGCAUAUGUUAAUUAAUUUAAUAAUUAACUAUCUAUAGAAAAAUAUGUGACAUGAAAAACAUUAUUACUACUAUGUAGAGCACAUCGACAUGAAUCUAACGCAUUUUGAACCACUUAAUCGGCUAUUAAACGCUUAAAUGACGGAGAUUAAAAGGCGUGGUGGCAAAUCUGUAGUUACCAACAUCUUCUUCCUUGGGUAGCAGAUCGUGGUGUAUUGGGAAAGCUACCUGGGGACUUCGGCCGCAGGGCACUUGGCCGGGAUUGGCUCCUCCGACUCAUGGACGUUUGCUGCCUACUAUCCAGGCACACCAUCUUAUUGCAUUUGCUCAUAAUAGAUGAUAUCCAGAUACAUCUGCACGUGUGAUAGGUUGGAUUGCAGUUACUAGAUGACAACUGCCCGUACAGAGAAUCACAAAUUCAUGGAGGUGCUCACCGAACAUAGAACGAUGAUGGAGAUGGCAGCCAGCUUGAACAUCCCACAUACGUGGUGCUCCAUGGACUUGAGAGCGGAUAUCAUGCAGAGCAUCUAGGCAUGGUUGAUGG
rnacentral:lncRNA from 1 species